rnacentral:tRNA from 1 species
GCCAGGUUGGUGAAAUGGCAGACACGCCUCGCUCAGAACGAGGAUGCUGGGGGUUCGACUCCCUCACUGGGCA